CCUUCCUAUACCGGAGGUCGGGGCGGUUUACGACAAGUCAUCAUGGCCCUUAUGGUCUGGGCCACACACGUGCUACAAUGGCGCAUACAAAGAGAAGCGACCUCGCGAGAGCAAGCGGACCUCAUAAAGUGCGUCGUAGUCCGGAUUGGAGUCUGCAACUCGACUCCAUGAAGUCGGAAUCGCUAGUAAUCGUAGAUCAGAAUGCUACGGUGAAUACGUUCCCGGGCCUUGUACACACCGCCCGUCACACCAUGGGAGUGGGUUGCAAAAGAAGUAGGUAGCUUAACCUUCGGGAGGGCGCUUUACCCACUUUGAAGUCCCAUUUG
rnacentral:rRNA from 1 species